rnacentral:lncRNA from 1 species
CCAGAGAGCUCUGCUUGAGAACUCACUCCAUUUUUUCCCUUCUCAUCUGCGGUGUUAACUGCCGCAGUGAGGACGAGGUUUGGAAGGGAGCAGUGGCCUGUCAGUGCUGGCUUCCCUCUGCAGAAAGGCUGGUAGGAGGGGCCUUCACGCCGCUGGACUGCCCCAGUCUACCAGGUCAGUGGCAGCGUCUGAGAGCAGGCGGGGCACUGGUGUGUACCCGUGUCAUCCCUGCUCCUGGACUGUUCCGCAACUGCUGGAGGAAAGGACUAUAACUUACCUAUUUUUAUUCCCCUCCCACAGCACCUGGCAUACCUGGAUACCACUGGUAUCUGACAGUGAGUGGGGAUGCCUUGAGAUAUAUUUUCAAGAUCAGAGAGAUUUUCCACCCAGACCUUGACUUGCAGAGCCUGAUUAAACGAGGCUACAUAUGGAGGACCUGCCCCCUAGCGACCCCCGCCCCCACCUCCGGGACCGAACCUCCAGGACCGAACCUCCCGUUUAGGCACUCUUUGCGUUGGUUGCCUGGGGCUGCCUUAGCAAAGGAUCGAUCGCCAAACCGGUGGCUGCAAACCACAAGCACACGUACUCCCUCAGAGUUCUGGAGACCAGGAGCUCAAAUUCAAGGUGUCAGCGGGGAGUGUGUCCUUUCUGUCUCUUCCAGCUUUGGGGACCUUGUGGCCACACCAGGCCAGUCUCCGCCUUUGGGGUGUCUGUGUCUUCUCCCCUCUGUCUUUUAUAAGGAGGCUUGUCCUUUAAUGUGGGUCCACCCGGGUAACACGGGAUCAUGUCAUCUCAGUUGUAUCUGCAGGACCCUCUUUUUAAGUAAGGUCACAUUCACAGAUUCCAGAGGUUGGGACAUGGACAUGCCUUUUCAGGGGGCCAUCAUUCAGCUCACCGCACUUUAGGAACCUAGGAGUUGCCCUUGACAACGAAUCUAGGAAUUGACACCUC